rnacentral:rRNA from 1 species
CCCCUAGACGUUCUGGGCUGCACGCGCGCUACAAUAAUACGCACAGCGAGUAUCACCGAGCUCGAAAGGGCAAGGUAAACAAUAGAAAAGGUACUGUAAUGGUUAUAGAUCCUUGUAAUUAUUGAUCUUCAACGAGGAAUUCCUAGUAAGUAUGUGUCAUCAUCACGCACUGAUUACGUCCCUGCCCUUUGUACACACCGCCCGUCGCUCCUACCGAUUGGGUGAGCCGAUGAAACUCUCGGAUGUAGGCUAUUCAUAGCCCGCAGACGAGAUUUGAAUCGUAGCGCUUAGAGGAAGGAGAAGUCGUAACA